UGUGGGUGGCGAGCGGCAGAUUUGGAUUCCCGCUCACGGCCACCGUCAGUGGCGAGCGAGCGCUUCUGAAGCGGCGGCUCGCUGGGCCUCCUCUAGGUCGACUCAGCCUGAAGCGUGUGUGCUACAGGUGGGUGUCUCGGAUUGCCAGCGCCAUGUGACGGAGCUCCAGGGCGUGCUGCGUGCCCGCCAGGAGGGGCUUGGUGAGAUGCUCUCACCCUGACUGAGCGCGGGAACACAGUGGGGCGGCACCAGCGGGACUCCCUGGACAACGCAGCCAAGUUCCUUGGCACAAGACCGAACAGCGCAGCGACUCGUGCAGCAGCAACGACCCAAGGGACAGCCUUCGCCACACACUCUGGAGGAGAAGAGGCUCCUCGGGCAGAGUAACACAGCUCAAGACGCGCGCUCAUUCGCGGAAACCGUGUGGGAACAACCUGCUGAGGCACAACCAGCCAACGACACCACUUAUGCAUCACAUGAAGAUGCAGCCUGUCCAUACAUUUGUGCAGGUGUGAUGGAAGUGUUUUCCCGUUUUGGUGCAUGCUAGAUUUUUAUCGAUAACUACCGACAAACGGUAGAAAUUGGCGGGCAUUACCCUGAGCAACGCAAGACGAAUGGGCAUUUUAAAGCAGAACUAUGCCACUUACUGACAUUUGUCGUUAGUUGAAUGCCUGGCGGGGGGUGACUUGUGUCCGUUUUCGAGAGGGGAAGCCGACCCAUGUAUAUGUAACGGGCGAUUUUUGCGACCGUUAAGGCCCCAAAGGCUGCUUUUCUCCUUAACUUGUAUCUAGAGAGGGAAACGUCGGACAUGUAUCGUAUGUAGGUUUUUUACGAAUUUUCAAGACGAAUCCAACGCCAUGAUUUGUGAAGGUGUAAAACGUUUUUUUAGGCAAUUUUAUUCCUUUCUGUUUCUCACGGGGAUAUUUCUGCAUGCCCUUGAAGGUUGAAAAAGCCACUUGCGAAACAAACCACAAACCAAAUCCAGCUAAUUUAUGAAUGACUGAGCGCCCUGCUUCCUCAAGAACAUGCUAUUUAUCGGCAGAUGAAAUUUACUCGGGCUAUUCCAGCAGAUGCAUGUACACUCAAGAAAGUAAAUAUUUUGAGCGAUAGGCUCCAUGGAACGACAAAACUUGGUGGGGAUUACUCUCAUGUGUGUCACGGGGCAUCCUUUAUCUUACACCACCUUCCUUCUGCCUGAGAAAAUGGUCAUUUUUGAGUUACCUCCGACAGAGGCGUCCAUUAAAAGUGCAUUGGAAUGGCAAGUUUCAAAAAUGUGACGACGUUCUGCGUCACCGACCUCUGGAGCAGCUCCAGCUGGGCAGCGAUGCCGCGCCACACGUCUGAUGGUGGCGCCACAGCUUCCCCGGCCGCCGCCUCCUCCGGCUCCAGCCGGGCCACCUCCACGGGGCACAUUUCCGGGGCCCCGAUCUCCGGGAUCUUCGUCGUCCUCUUCGUUCGUCUAUACACCAGGCUCAGUCUUCCGUCUCGCGCCGGACUUCGACAUGGUCGUGAGCACGGAAGCCACUUCCGACACCAGUGGUUGAGGUGUGAAGAAUGACACGAAGGCCGACGUUGUAGGGGCUAACGCAGGGGUGGGCAAACUUUUUGACUCGCGGGCCACAAUGGGUUCUAAAAUUUGACAGAGGGGCCGGGCCAGGAACAGGUGGCUGGAGUGUUUGUGUGAACUAAUAUAAAUGACAUGUAAAAAUCAUUACAUGAAAGGAUGUGGCCUUUAACAGGUAGCAAAGCAUUUAUUUGCAAGGCAAUUUAACAAAUUGCACGAACAUGAACAAUACAAAACAUGUUGUAACGUGACUGAUCAAACAUCAUGAAAACAUCUGAGCCCUGUGCCAAACCAAUUACCUCACUUGAACUUCUUUAUUAUCUACAUUAACAGGUUAGAGCAGCCACGCAGACUGUGUUGCGGAGAUUUGGCUCCAACCUCGCUGCAGCAACACAUAAUCACUUUCAGUUUCAAUGAGAACAGUGUUGUUGAUCUCCCAUUUUUGCCAGUGCAUCCAAGUCUGGAGUUAUUUUGGUUGUGGCAAUUCUCAGGAUAGAUCUGAGGUGCUGAUCCGUUAACUUUGAUCUGUGACGGGCUUUGUUGGCGUUCAUGACACUGAAUGUCUGCUCGCACACAUAAGUCGAGCCAAACAAAGUCGGUAUCUUCUGUGCAGUCCUCCGGAGGUUUGGAAACGUGGCCCUGUUAAGUGAAGCAUAAAAGUCAUUCAGUUUAACAGAGUUGAACUUCUCCUUUAAGACGGAGCCAGACUGAAGAUAUUUCAGUUCCAACUGCAGCUCCUGUGGUGCUGUUUCAGGGUCUUGUGACAGGGGACAGGACACCAGCUGAAGUGACUGUUCAAUGUUUUCGAAAUCAGAGAACCUACGGCAGAAUUCUCCAUGCAGGUCCUCAAGUGAUUUGAUGUAUUUUUUUGCAUUUCGCGGUGCCUCUUCCUGCAUGGCAAGUGUAGGGAAAUGAGCAAAAGAUUUGUUCGCAAUUUGUCCGGAGAACAAAGUGCGCUGGAUUUGAAGGCUUUCACAUGUUUGUACAUGUCGUGAACAAACUGAUCUUUCCCCUGCAGUUUCACUUUCAGCUCAUUCAUGUGUGAAAAUAUGUCCACAGCAAACGCAAAGUCACUAAGCCAGUUCUUGUCGCUUAGCUCAAGGAAUUCGUCAGAUUUCCCCAUCAACUCCAAAAAUGCGAUGAUAUCUUCUUUCAGCUCCCACACUCGUUGUAACACUUUCCCCAAACUUAACCAGCGGACACGAGAGUGGUACAGCAAGUCCUGAUGAUCCGCAUCAGUUUCCUCCAGGAAGGUAACAAACUGACGGUGCUGAAGUCCCCUUGCUCGUAUACAGUUCACAAGUUUUACGACUGGAUUCACGACAUGAUUAAGCUGCAAUACAGACUUACACAGGGAUUCCUGUUGGAUGAUGCAGCGAAGGAAAAUAAGAUCCUGAACAGGGUUUUUCUCUUUCACUUUAUCCUGGAUUCUUUUCAGCAGCCCAACA